UAAAGAUGGUGUUGUGCCAACCAUUUUCAGCUUUCCAGCUCAUCUUCAAAGGUCGAUAGCAACAAGAAGCACAACCACUUCUAGAAGAGCGGAAGAUAACCUGCCAAUGGACUUGAUGUCUGAUGUUGGAGCCACUGGAGAGAGGAGAUUGGGCCGCAAGCGGCAGGCCACUGACCACUUGUAUGCAUUGCCUGCUUGUCCUAAGGCUAUAAAGUCC